rnacentral:lncRNA from 1 species
GAGCAUGAAGUUAUUGCCUUGAAAAGAGAAGUGUGACGCCUAAUAAAUCGCACAUGGCUACUGGACCAAGUAUGUGAUGGCAUGUGCGGUGCAUAGCCUCAGUUGUGCGAUAGCAUGUGCGACGCACAUCUCAGCUUGUGCGAUAGGAUGUGCAGCACGUAUCUUAGCAUGUGCGAUGAGGUGUGGGACGCACACUUAUGAUUUCAGCCAUGAAAACAC